UCGCAACCCAUACUCCGACGG
rnacentral:miRNA from 1 species